UGAACGCUGGCGGCGUGCCUAAUACAUGCAAGUCGAGCGAACAGACGGGGAGCUUGCUCCUCUGACGUUAGCGGCGGACGGGUGAGUAACACGUGGAUAACCUACCUAUAAGACUGGGAUAACUUCGGGAAACCGGAGCUAAUACCGGAUAAUAUAUUGAACCGCAUGGUUCAAUAGUGAAAGACGGUUUUGCUGUCACUUAUAGAUGGAUCCGCGCCGCAUUAGCUAGUUGGUAAGGUAACGGCUUACCAAGGCAACGAUGCGUAGCCGACCUGAGAGGGUGAUCGGCCACACUGGAACUGAGACACGGUCCAGACUCCUACGGGAGGCAGCAGUAGGGAAUCUUCCGCAAUGGGCGAAAGCCUGACGGAGCAACGCCGCGUGAGUGAUGAAGGUCUUCGGAUCGUAAAACUCUGUUAUUAGGGAAGAACAAAUGUGUAAGUAACUAUGCACGUCUUGACGGUACCUAAUCAGAAAGCCACGGCUAACUACGUG
rnacentral:rRNA from 1 species